rnacentral:rRNA from 1 species
UGGGGAAUAUGGCACAAUGGGGGAAACCCUGAUGCAGCGACGCCGCGUGAACGAAGAAGGUAUUCGUAUCGUAAAGUUCUGUCCUAUGGGAAGAUAAUGACAGUACCAUAGAAGAAAGCUCCGGCUAAAUACGUGCCAGCAGCCGCGGUAAUACGUAUGGAGCGAGCGUUGGCCGGAAUUAUUGGGCGUAAAGGGUACGCAGGCGGUUUAAUAAGUCGAAUGUUAAAGAUCGGGGCUCAACCCCGCAAAGCAUUGGAAACUGAUAAACUUGAGUAGUGCAGAGGAAAGUGGAAUUCCUAGUGUAGUGGUGAAAUACGUAGAUAUUAGGAGGAAUACCAGUAGCGAAGGCGACUUUCUGGACACAAACUGACGCUGAGGUACGAAAGCGUGGGGAGCAAACAGG